rfam:Salmo salar isolate Sally breed double haploid chromosome ssa22, whole genome shotgun sequence.
UGCAUUCACUACUGUAAGUCGGUUUGGAUAAGAGCGUCUGCUAAAUGACUAAAA